AUGGCUUCCAGCUCUACCUGUAGGGCAUGGCAUUGCUUGCUUGCCCUGUUCCUCCUCUCCUCUUCCGCGUAUGGUCAGCUGUCGCCGUCGUUCUACGCCAAGACCUGCCCGACGCUGGAACUCAUCGUGCGCUCCACAGUGACCAAGGCAAUCCUCGUCGAGCGCCGAAUGGGGGCCUCCCUCCUUAGGCUCCACUUCCAUGACUGCUUUGUUCAAGGUAGCUUCGUGGGCGAGAAGACGGCCCUUCCCAACAUGAAUUCGGUGCGGGGCUUCGGCGUGAUCGACGAGAUCAAGAAGAACGUGGAGCUGGUCUGCCCUGGCGUCGUCUCCUGCGCCGACAUCAUCGCCGUCGCGGCACGGGACGGCGUGGUUCUGCUAGGCGGGCCCAGCUGGCCCGUGCCGCUCGGCCAGCGGGACUCGACGACGGCCAGCCUGAAUGCGGCGAACAGCGACAUCCCGACGCCUGACUAUAGCCUGGACCAGCUCAUCGCUGCGUUCAACAAGCACCAGCUGAGCCCACGGGACAUGACGGCGCUGUCCGGCGCGCACACCAUCGGCUACUCGCAGUGCAUCAACUUCCGCGACCACAUCUACAACGGCACCAACAUCGACCCGGUGUUCGCCACGCUGCGCAAGCGUACCUGCCCCGCCCAGGCCCCCAACGGCGAUACCAACCUGGCGCCGCUCGACGUGCAGACGCCGCUCGCCUUCGACAACGCCUACUACAGCAACCUGGUCGCCAAGCGCGGCCUGCUCAACUCCGACCAGGAGCUCUUCAACGGGGGCUCCCAGGACGCGCUGGUGAGCCGGUACGUCAUCAACCCGGCGCUCUUCGCGUCCGACUUCGUGACGGCGAUCAUCAAGAUGUCCAAGCUAAGCCCGCCCCCUGGAACCCCCACCCAGAUCAGGCGCAACUGCAGGGUCAUUAACAGCUGA
rnacentral:rRNA from 1 species